CGACUGGCUGGUUUUUGCCGCAGUCCCUGACCAAGGUAAACAGAAGAGGGAAGUGGGAAGAAUGCUUCGUUUCCAUGGCAACCCAGAGGGCAGUCGGUGCGGCGCUCUUGGAUGUGCUUCAGGGGAAGAAAAGGCUCACUGGAAAAGCAACGGGGAGACCGGCCCCUUCCACAGACGCACGGUGGGGGAUUGUUCUGGAACGCGGUGUGGGCCUGGAUGGAGGGAGGAGCGGGGGAGAGGAGUCAGGCACCAUCCGUGCAGUGGCAGAUGAGCGGGGAGGGCCAGGGACACACCAAAAAAGCAACCACACAUGCUGUUGUGACAGCUGUCGGUCAGUGGCUCCAUCCCCACACCUAGGGGGCAGAAAACAGGGAUGGCGGAGAUCUCAGAGCCUCCCCAAGUGUGCACCUGGCUGUCCCUUUCCAGAAAAAUCCUUCCGUGGGGCAGCUCAGCCGGAGGGCAGCCACAGAGGCUGGAUCCAGAGCCUCAAGGCCAUAGAUAGGUUUUGUCUGAAACAGAGAAACCCACCGUUCUCCUGCUGCAGAGUGAGCUGGAGGUGCCCACCCUCCCCCCUCCAGGGGACAGGUGCUUUCCAUUUGUCGCCACGUCACUCCAGCUGCUGACCACAACUCCUGCACGCUGAGGGCAUCAGAAACCUCUUCUGGUUUCC
rnacentral:lncRNA from 1 species